UACGAAGGGUGCAAACGUUGCUCGGAAUUAUUGGGCGUAAAGCGCACGUAGGCGGCUUUUCAAGUCCCAUGUGAAAGCCCACGGCUUAACCGUGGAAGUGCAUGGGAAACUGGAAAGCUUGAGUACUUAAGAGGAUCGCGGAAUUCCCGGUGUAGAGGUGAAAUUCGUAGAUAUUACAUGGAAUACCAAUUGCGAAGGCAGGUGGCUACGUUUGAUUUGACACUGAGGCACGAAAGCAUGGGGAGCAAACAGG
rnacentral:rRNA from 1 species